rnacentral:lncRNA from 1 species
CAGAAAUUGAAGGAAAGAAUUAACAUGAAAUUAAGUCAAAAUAAUAUCUCACAAGAAAUAGAUUCUGAUGAAGAAGGGAGCUAAAUAAUUUCAGCCAAACACAAACAUUCAUGGGGCUAGGUUUUAUAGUUCAUUGACCUCAUUGCCUAUAUUACACUAUUCCAAGGUAGAAGGCUAAAUCGAUUUCAAAGAAACGCAAACUCAGAAGACAAGGCGUUGCCAAAUGGAAUAAGCCAGAGAUCUUCAAAAAACCAACAACCGGACUUUGCAGCUGGAGAGGAGGUGACUUGUUGUUUAUAGGAAGUAGUCAGGUGUCCUUCGGGUCACAUCUGGUUCUCCUCUCCUUGGGGCUGGUUCAAACUGUUUCACAAUUUAGUCUUCAUUAGUGUUUUUCUUCUUUUGCAGAGAUAGAAAAUGAACAUAGCUUGCGAGAUACCUGAAUGAAGGUGUGGUUCCUGCAGUCAUCGACCUCAAGAAUAGAGGCCAUGUUUCCACAGCGAUAGCAAUAGUUUGGUGCACUGAAAAUAGUAACCACCUUUUGCUCCUGUCAAUAGAAAUACAUUUUCAACAUAGUGAGCAAAGAUUCUCAGGUCUGACUAUAGUGUCUAUGCAUGGGAGAAAAGUUUGAUUUGAAUUACAUGUGCCCAGUUGAAUCCAUCCAUAACCAGCUGAUGCGCUCGAGCGAUAAGUUUUAAGCUGUUGCUGUGGUUGAAUUGUUCGGAGAUGUCCUAUGGAAACAAAAAAAUGAAAAAAAGAUAGUCGAGUACACACUUAUCUAGAACAAACAAAGAUAAAUGAGAUUCAGGACAGCUUCUGAAACUGAGGCUAUGCAAUUUGAAUACCUGACCAAAUGUAUAUCCGGCACCACGAGGAGAGAUUCCCCAGCCACAUCUGUCAUCAGGAUCAGACCAUAGUAAGUCACACAUGGGUCCUUCAUGUGGAACUUCUUGAACUCGAUCAAAGUUCCUAAUGUUGUCAAGGGUCUCAAUAGACGGUGACAAUCCACCGUGAAGGCAGAAUAUUUCUGACUCCACCUGCAAACAGGACAUAUGACAUGAGAUGGACAGCCUUAUUUGCUGGAAAUAAAACCCUUAGAAAUCACCACCAAUUCAAUCAGACAAGUUAUUUUAAAAAAAAAACGUCCACGCUUAGCUCUCGAAAGUGUAAGUAGCAAAUUCAAUUUAUAUCUCAUUCACAGCAUUGCAGAAUAGAAACACUCUCAAACUGAACUAACACUUGCCAACUAAAUACACUUAACACAGGCACAAGCAUGCAUUAAAAAGCCAAUAUUUUCGUUGUCUCGAAUAUUAAGAGCGCCAAAACACAGAUAAUGGGUCAUCUACGAACAUUGAGACCGCUGGAACAAAGAAUGGAUCAUAUCUAUUUUAUAUAAGACCACAAAGGUGCAGCGUACUAACCAAGGCUGUAAGUGGGAAAUAGUCAAAGAGGUCUGUAAAUAUCUUCCAAACAUUUGCAUUGCCAUACCUGCAAAUACAAUGAAGCUUUGUUAAGUAAAUCGCAAACGAAAGGACACAAAAUAUUUUCGUAAGGAGAGUCACACGUAUUUGAUUAAGAGUUUAAGACCAUUGAGAACAGUCAGAUAAGCAAAGCCAUAUCAUUUCGGAAGAUUAUUACAAACUAGCCAGGACUUGAAAAGAAAGAAAGGAGGAUUAAUAUUCUCCCAUGACAAAACAUGAGCAGCAGCAACAACAGAAAGCAAAAACGAUAAGGAUCAUGACAUAAACAAAGUGAAUUAGCAGAAAGGAUAAGGAUGUUGGAGACUCACUUUCGCAGGCAUUCAUCAUAAAAUCCAUAAACCUGAGUAAUCUGCCAGAUUGACAAAGUGUAAUAAACCAUGAGUCAGGUAAAAAAAAGUUGGAGGACAGAAAACUACAGCAAACAAAUCACAGGAAAGCCUUAAACUGCAUGUAAAUGUAGGUAUCAUAGACAUACAUAUAUAAAUUGUAAUUAAGAAAGGCUCUCGUCUAAGAUUUUAAUGAUAGAAGACAGUAAAGAAUAUGUCAAUACAGUAUACCUCAGAGAGUGAAGGUACAAGUAGAGACGAGUUGGUAAAAAGCAGAAAUUGAAGGAAAGAAUUAACAUGAAAUUAAGUCAAAAUAAUAUCUCACAAGAAAUAGAUUCUGAUGAAGAAGGGAGCUAAAUAAUUUCAGCCAAACACAAACAUUCAUGGGGCUAGGUUUUAUAGUUCAUUGACCUCAUUGCCUAUAUUACACUAUUCCAAGGUAGAAGGCUAAAUCGAUUUCAAAGAAACGCAAACUCAGAAGACAAGGCGUUGCCAAAUGGAAUAAGCCAGAGAUCUUCAAAAAACCAACAACCGGACUUUGCAGCUGGAGAGGAGGUGACUUGUUGUUUAUAGGAAGUAGUCAGGUGUCCUUCGGGUCACAUCUGGUUCUCCUCUCCUUGGGGCUGGUUCAAACUGUUUCAC